rnacentral:rRNA from 1 species
UGGGGAAUUUUGGACAAUGGGGGAAACCCUGAUCCAGCCAUCCCGCGUGUGCGAUGAAGGCCUUCGGGUUGUAAAGCACUUUUGGCAGGAAAGAAACGUCGCGGGUUAAUACCCCGCGGAACUGACGGUACCUGCAGAAUAAGCACCGGCUAACUACGUGCCAGCAGCCGCGGUAAUACGUAGGGUGCAAGCGUUAAUCGGAAUUACUGGGCGUAAAGCGUGCGCAGGCGGUUCGGAAAGAAAGAUGUGAAAUCCCAGAGCUUAACUUUGGAACUGCAUUUUUAACUACCGGGCUAGAGUGUGUCAGAGGGAGGUGGAAUUCCGCGUGUAGCAGUGAAAUGCGUAGAUAUGCGGAGGAACACCGAUGGCGAAGGCAGCCUCCUGGGAUAACACUGACGCUCAUGCACGAAAGCGUGGGGAGCAAACAGGAUUAGAUACCCUGGUAGUCCACGCCCUAAACGAUGUCAACUAGCUGUUGGGGUCUUCGGACCUUGGUAGCGCAGCUAACGCGUGAAGUUGACCGCCUGGGGAGUACGGUCGCAAGAUUAAAAACUCAAAUGAAUUGACGGGGGUCAUAGCUG